rnacentral:rRNA from 2 species
ACUCUGGUAUUGAUUGGUGCUUGCAUCAUGAUUUACAUUUGAGNGAGNGGCGAACUGGUGAGUAACACGNGGGAAACCUGCCCAGAAGCGGGGGAUAACACCUGGAAACAGAUGCUAAUACCGCAUAACAACUUGGACCGCAUGGUCCGAGCUUGAAAGAUGGCUUCGGCUAUCACUUUUGGAUGGUCCCGCGGCGUAUUAGCUAGAUGGUGGGGUAACGGCUCACCAUGGCAAUGAUACGUAGCCGACCUGAGAGGGUAAUCGGCCACAUUGGGACUGAGACACGGCCCAAACUCCUACGGGAGGCAGCAGUAGGGAAUCUUCCACAAUGGACGAAAGUCUGAUGGAGCAACGCCGCGUGAGUGAAGAAGGGUUUCGGCUCGUAAAACUCUGUUGUUAAAGAAGAACAUAUCUGAGAGUAACUGUUCAGGUAUUGACGGUAUUUAACCAGAAAGCCACGGCUAACUACGUGCCAGCAGCCGCGGUAAUACGUAGGUGGCAAGCGUUGUCCGGAUUUAUUGGGCGUAAAGCGAGCGCAGGCGGUUUUUUAAGUCUGAUGUGAAAGCCUUCGGCUCAACCGAAGAAGUGCAUCGGAAACUGGGAAACUUGAGUGCAGAAGAGGACAGUGGAACUCCAUGUGUAGCGGUGAAAUGCGUAGAUAUAUGGAAGAACACCAGUGGCGAANGCGGCUGUCUGGUCUGUAACUGACGCUGA